AGAGUUUGAUCAUGGCUCAGAUUGAACGCUGGCGGAAUGCUUUACACAUGCAAGUCGAGCGGCAGCGCGGGGCAACCUGGCGGCGAGCGGCGAACGGGUGAGUAAUACAUCGGAACGUACCCAGUUGUGGGGGAUAGCCCGGCGAAAGCCGGAUUAAUACCGCAUACGACCUGAGGGUGAAAGGGGGGGAUCGCAAGACCUCUCGCAGUUGGAGCGGCCGAUGGCGGAUUAGCUAGUUGGUAGGGUAAAGGCUCACCAAGGCGACGAUCCGUAGCUGGUCUGAGAGGACGACCAGCCACACUGGAACUGAGACACGGUCCAGACUCCUACGGGAGGCAGCAGUGGGGAAUUUUGGACAAUGGGGGCAACCCUGAUCCAGCCAUUCCGCGUGAGUGAAGAAGGCCUUCGGGUUGUAAAGCUCUUUCAGCAGGAACGAAACGGUGGUCCCUAAUACGGGCUACUAAUGACGGUACCUGAAGAAGAAGCACCGGCUAACUACGUG
rnacentral:rRNA from 1 species